GGCGAAGGCUCGUGUACAACGCGUGGUCGAUAUCAAAUGUAAAUGCAACGCGACGUGUGUCGGAGCCCCAAAUUU
rnacentral:lncRNA from 1 species